ACAAAAAAUUUAAACAUACUCGUGAAAACUUUUUUAAUUUGUUUAAUAUAGUUUCGGUUGAAUAUUAUUGGAUAACAUCGUCUAACAGUUUUGUUGAUUAGUAAAUUUGGUAAAUGGUUUAGAAACUAUCUCCAAAUUUUUUACAAUAUGACGACAUUUAAAAAUUUAACAAAAUCCCAAAAGCCCCUGGCUUCGUUCCACCGUGACAUGCAGACUUUUUGCAAAGAAACUUCACAAACUCUACGUGGACACAACAAAGCCCGCAAUGGAAAUUAUAGAUAGCCGAACUUGUGUACAAGAAGCUAUGCAUUUACGCUCUGGACUUGAAAGCAUUUGCGAAAAACGCCAGUACUAUAAAUUCUGAUGACAUCUUAUUAUUGGUAAGAAGAAUUCCAACCCUAUCUACAGGUUUCGCACGCGAUUCAGUCCAAAUGGAAUUAGAAACAUAAAAAA